rnacentral:misc_RNA from 1 species
GAUGAGAACGUAGCGAAAUGCGAUAAGUAAUGUGAAUUGCAGAAUUCAGUGAAUCAUCGAAUCUUUGAACGCACAUUGCGCCCGCCAGUAUUCUGGCGGGCAUGCCUGUUCGAGCGUCAUUUCAACCAUCAAGCCCCCGGGCUUGUGUUGGGGACCUGCGGCUGCCGCAGGCCCUGAAAAGCAGUGGCGGGCUCGCUGUCACACCGAGCGUAGUAGAUUUUAUCUCGCUCUGGGCGUGCUGCGGGUUCCGGCCGUUAAACCACCCUUUUAACCCAAGGUUGACCUCGGAUCAGGUAGGAAGACCCGCUGAACUUAAGCAUAUCAAUAAGCGGAGGA